AAUAUGCCCUGGAGGUUCUCCAGUGUCACAUGGUGUGUGGAGCAAGAAAAGGCAGGGUUGCUCUUGCGCUGACGAAGUGGAUUUUGGUUCCCAAAUGGCACCCCUUGGGGAAUAGGAGGGGUUGUGGGUGGGAAGGGGGGCAGGCAGGCCGAGCAGUGGUGUGAGAGUGGGCAAGGGAGAACUAGUCUUGCAUUUUUCAUCUCCUUCAGCCUUCCAGGAAGCCGCUUCCUCCUGGAGGUGGAGGCAUACCCCCAGAUUUGUGGCGUGGGAAUUGGGGGAAAAGUUUCUGCGGUGUUUUAGUUGUUUACGUGGUGGUAGGGGUGGAUUUCUAGCUGUAUACAUGCUGGAUCUCAUAGCCGGAUAAAAGCUAUGUAACAUGUGGGGCCCGACCUAGAGCCCCCCGGGUAGCUCAAUUGCUUAAAAUGGAAAGGACGUCAACCAUGGAUGCUCAGGGGAGGGGCUGCCACCUCUAGACCCAGAUUGCUUUCAGCUACUACCCAGGAAAAUGAUAUUGUCUCUUACCAUUCUGCUGAAAUCUCUCUUCAUCUUGUUUAUACAUGUUGGUUUAUCUAGUCCUGUUUUUCUGAAUUCCAAACACUUAGAGGAGGCUCAGUGGUUCCCAAAGUAGACCUCUACCGGAAGUCCAGUGAUGGACACCUGUUUUUUUUGUCCCACACAGGUCCAUCAUGCCUAAAUACAAUCUCUAUGCCUUGUCCUGGGCAGGAGGAUGAGGCUUGGCUACGUUCACUUUCAAGAAUCAAGAAGAGAGGACUGAAAGAGAAACAGCUGAAAAGAAGGAGCCAAAUAAAAAACAAGAUCCAGCUGGAGGAGUUCAGGCCCGAUAAGCAGGCUUGAAAAAGAGGUCAGGCCCCAGGAGCUGGGCUGGAGCAGCGAGGAGCGUUUUUUCCAAGGAAAGAUGACUGCCUGAGAGCAAACAAAAGCUUUGGUAGGCAGCCUGAAAUUGCUCAUCAAGGAAAAAGACCAGACUCAGAUUUUAAAUGGCUUCUUCUGAAUGAAGCAAUUAAUGCUAAAAGGAACAUGUUGUCUCCUCAGCAUUUAUAAGGAUGGUUUAUGAAGAUGACCUGGGUAAAAAGACACCCAGAGAUUUCAUGCUGUUGAUCCACAGAAAGCCUGUUACUGUCCACUCCGUUGAGUCAGGCUUUAGAGUCUGGAUCAUCCCUUACAGAAGAUCCUUGAUAAUAUUUCUGAUAUACCUCCAAGAAAGAAGAACUCAACCAGAAGAUAACCAUUUUGACUGUCUUUAAGAUCCAUGAUUCCUUUCUGCCUGGGAGAGAUUAUGAGGCUUCAGAGAAUUCAAAUAUUGCUCCUCAUUAAGGAAAUGGUUCCGUUUGUUAAAUGUGUGUGACCCUUCCGAUAAGUCACCAGAGGUGAUGAGGGAGAGAGAGAAAGAAAGCAAAUUACAACUAUAAAGAGUCUCUGAACAGUGAAACAUCAAAACAGACAGUCUCUGGCUUUACUGGAUGAGUCACCAUUGCAGCCCGACCGCAAAAACAAGCGUGGCUUCUGUACUUAGCAGCAGUCUUCCUGUCUGGAAAGGAAACGUUGCUCAGAUUGGAGAUACUGGCCAUUUUAUAGACUUCAAAGCAACUUAGGCAACUGAACUGUCAGGCGGGAAAACAGGUAAAACAAUUUUCCUAGAGUUUGUCUGGAGAAUCAGCUACUCAAAUCUGAUUUGAAGCUGCAUGGAAAUACUUUCAUCUUUAGCCGAAGCUGUUUAUUUUAAAAAGUUUUAGUAUGAUGGUCUUCAGUUCUAGUGUAGUAUGUCUAUUUUUCCUCAAAUAAUGUAAGUCAGCUUUUUCUGGAAGAGACUUGUUUCCAGGCACUGAGCUAAGUUCUAUGGGGGAUGGAGAUAAAAUCAACAUGAGGACCAUCUAAUGAGGAAGUGGGACCAGUACACAUAUCAUGACACUAUGAAAGGAAAUAUGUACUGAAAACAGGAAAAACAUGAUACUGUGAUGGUGCAAGGAAAACAGAGGUGGGUCUUGAUGAAUGGUCUACCAGAUGAGAGACUAGUAUAAAGAAAGGCCUACGUGUAUUCAGGAUUUAGCAAUGAGUCUAAUUUAGGUUGAAAUGUAACAUACAAAUAAGGAAGUAGAAGAAAUAAAACUGGAGAGACUGGGAUCAGAUCUGGAAAGAGUCUGAAUGCCAGGAUGAAGAUUUGAGGUCUUAUGCUGUGUGCUGUGGAGACAGGGAGAGAAGAAGUAGUAACCUUAUGGGAAGAUAAUAAUGCCAACUCCAGAAAGGAAAAGGCAAAGGAGCAAGAUCAAGAUCAGUUAGAAGACUCUUGCCACAGUUCAGGAAAGAAAUUAAUUUUGGCCUGAUAUGGUUGGCUCUCUGCCCCUACUCAAAUGUCAUCUUGAAUUGUAAUCCCCUCAUGUUGAGGGAGGGA